rnacentral:tRNA from 1 species
UGGCAUAGUGGUUAAGUGCUAUGGCUGCUAACCAAAGAGUUGGCGGUUCGAAUCCGCC